rnacentral:rRNA from 1 species
AUGGAGGUUUUCGCAGAACUCGGCUCAAGAUAUCCACACUUCACCUAUCGUGUACAAGCGGACAAGGAUGAUCGGAUAACAACUUUGAUGUGGGCAAAAGGGAGCAGCAGGUUGCAGUACACAUUCUUUGGAGAUGUUGUCAGCUUCGACGUGACAUACAGAGGUGUGAAUAAUCAUUUUCAGAGCAUCUUCCUGGCUGGGGUUUUGGUCCAUGAUGAGAAGGUGGAGACAUAUUUGAGUGGGUUUUCAGUUUUCACAAAGUUCAUCUGGAUGAUGGGAGGGAGUGCACCAAAAACAAUUCUAACAGCUUUUUUGGAGCCCCCCAGCUGA